GUUGAAGAACGCAGCGAAAUGCGAUAAGUAAUGCGAAUUGCAGAAUUCCAGUGAGUCAUCGAAUCUUUGAACGCACAUUGCGCCCUUUGGUAUUCCGAAGGGCAUGCCUGUUCGAGCGUCAUUAUCACCCCUCAAGCCCUCGGCUUGGUGUUGGACGGUUUGGUGGAGGCCCCCUCGGGGGCUCCUGCCCCUCCCAAAGACAAUGACGGCGGCCUCGUUGGACCCCCGGUACACUGAGUUCUUCACGGGACACGUAUCGGACACAUGGGUUUACGGGACACGGUCUGCCUCCCCUCAGGGAGAAUCUUUCUAAGGUUGACCUCGGAUCAGGUAGGGAUACCCGCUGAACUUAAGCAUAUCAAUAAGCGGAGGA
rnacentral:misc_RNA from 1 species